UACGUAGGGGGCGAGCGUUGUCCGGAAUCAUUGGGCGUAAAGAGCGCGUAGGCGGCCAGGUAAGUCCGGUGUGAAAGUCACAGGCUCAACCUGUGAAUGCCGCUGGAAACUGCCUGGCUAGAGUCCGGAAGGGGCGAGUGGAAUUCCUGGUGUAGCGGUGAAAUGCGUAGAGAUCGGGAGGAAGGCCGGUGGCGAAGGCGGCGCUCUGGAACAUUUCUGACGCUGAGGCUCGAAAGCGUGGGGAGCAAACAGG
rnacentral:rRNA from 1 species